rnacentral:rRNA from 1 species
CAGUCGCCGCGGUAAUACGUAGGGUGCAAGCGUUAAUCGGAAUUACUGGGCGUAAAGCGCACGUAGGCGGCUUGGUAAGUUAGAGGUGAAAGCCCGGAGCUCAACUCCGGAAUUGCCUUUAAGACUGCCGAGCUAGUAGGUGAGAGAGGUAAGUGGAAUUCCGAGUGUAGAGGUGAAAUUCGUAGAUAUUCGGAAGAACACCAGUGGCGAAGGCGGCUUACUGGCUCAUUCUAGACGCUGAGGUGCGAAAGCGUGGGGAGCAAACAGGAUUAGAUACCCGUGUAGUCCCUGUCUCUUAUAC